rnacentral:rRNA from 1 species
GUGAGGAAUAUUGGUCAAUGGGCGAGAGCCUGAACCAGCCAAGUCGCGUGAAGGAUGAAGGUUUUAUGAAUUGUAAACUUCUUUUGCAGGGGAAUAAAGUACGGUACGUGUACCGUUUUGUAUGUACUCUGCGAAUAAGGAUCGGCUAACUUCGUGCCAGCAGCCGCGGUAAUACGGAGGCACCAAGCGUUAUCCGGAUUUAUUGGGUUUAAAGGGUGCGCAGGCGGGUUGAUAAGUCAGCGGUGAAAGUUUGCAGCUUAACUGUAAAAAUGCCGUUGAAACUGUCGGACUUGAGUGUAAAUGAGGUAGGCGGAAUGCGUGGUGUAGCGGUGAAAUGCAUAGAUAUCACGCAGAACUCCGAUUGCGAAGGCAGCUUACUAAGCUACAACUGACACUGAAGCACGAAAGCGUGGGGAUCAAACAGGAUUAGAAACCCGAGUAGUCC